rnacentral:lncRNA from 1 species
ACAAUCACAACAAGCAUGACAAGUAUUUUAUAGUUAAAAGCUCCAGGUUCAUUUUGGUAACAUCUAUAAUAAUUGGAAGAGGUCAUGCAGUCAUUUUGGCAUCUUGCUGUUGGUCGGUGGAGCUCGGCAGGUGAAGAAAAGUGUUUCCCAGACGGAGACCGCGGCUGCAGUGGUCGACUCCCGGCACAAACUCCACCUGAUAAAGACACUCCGCUCACAAUCUCUCAAAACCAAGGGCAGGGCUGUUCUGUUCUUUGAACCGAACGCUCUAGAUCACCCCCUGUGACGCUCACGCAGCCACUAUCACCUAACAGCACUGCUAUACCUGCUCCUGCGACUGAAGGGAAGCGCCAAGGACAAGAAGUUACACCCAAAGACAGUGAGAGGGAAAGUGGACUUUGGACUUUUGGAGAGGCAGAGGCUAUAAAGAGCAGUGGGCGUCUGCGCGAGGCAAGGCCCGUACCAAUGACCGUGUCUAGGAGUCCGGAAAUAUUAUUAUACCAUUAAUAAAAGGCAAAUACAUGGGGUAAACAAAAUUCAAAAGGUCUGGCCCAGUGUUUCUCAACAAGUACCACCUAAGACACAAAUUGAGUACCCUUAGAUGUAUGUUAAGUGUAAGUAUAAGGGCUGAUUGUGGUCUAAACUAACUCUCAACCAGAUCAAAAUGAAUUCUAAAUAAGAACUAACCCAAAAGAAGACAAAGGCAUGUGUGAAAUUGACUCUAAAUUAAACAAAUCUACCACCUGAUGCGCUGGUCUAGACUAAAUCAGAAUCAGAAUAGGUUUUAUUGCCAUUGUGUGGCUUGUUUAUGUGCAUGAGACCCAUGUAUGCACAACUGCAGUUUUAAUCAUUAUCAUUAUUGAAAAAGACAAAGCUUUAUCUUUAUGAACGACAUUUUUAUUAUGUUCGAAACUAUGACGACAGUUUUCCUGAGAAAGGCGACAACUAUAGGGCGUGACAUUAGGAAUGUGGGAAUAUCUUGUGUACAAUGUGGGGUAACAAUCAACACUUGAAAAUAAAGUUGAUGAAGUUAUUAAAUAAAAAGGGAUUGGAAAUGUUUUGUGAGAACAGUGAAAGUUAGGACACAAGCAUUCAAUUUCUUGAAAAAUAGAAAAAAUACAUCCUGUCCCAUAAACUAGUAUUUUUAACUGUACAUUGUACUUAACAUUACUGUCGGCAAAGGCUCAUCCCGGAAAUUGAUAUUCUAUAGAACUUUUAUUUAAAAAAUGUAAUCAAUUUAAUGCUGUAACCUACAGUGCCUUGCGAAAGUACUAAUACACCUUGAACUUUUGCACAUUUUGUCAUGUUUACAACCCUAAACGUAAAGAUUUUUACUGAAAGUUCACACACAAGUAACAGACAACUGUGAAGAGAAAGCAAAAUGAUACAUGAUUCUGUUAUUUUACAAAAAAAAGAAAACCAAAAAGUCAGGCGUGUAAAGUAUUCAUACAGCAUUUUCUGAG